rnacentral:rRNA from 1 species
AAGUAAAAAAAUCGUAACAAGGUCUCCGUUGGUGAACCAGCGGAGGGAUCAUUAAAGAGAGCCUAAAAAACUCCCGCAAAACCCCAUGUGAACAUACCAUACGUUGCCUCGGCAGGCCCUAGACGCGCCUGGCGCGCACCCCUCGGGGGGGCGCGGUUGGGACCUGCCGGCGGCCCAAGCAAACCCUGUCGUCACUGAAUUCUGAGCCCGCAUGUAGGAAAUUAAAGUCAAAACUUUCAACAACGGAUCUCUUGGUUCUGGCAUCGAUGAAGAACGCAGCGAAAUGCGAUAAGUAAUGUGAAUUGCAGAAUUCAGUGAAUCAUCGAAUCUUUGAACGCACAUUGCGCCCGCCAGUAUUCUGGCGGGCAUGCCUGUUCGAGCGUCAUUUCAACCCCUUAAGCCCCUGUUGCUUAGCGUUGGGAGCCUACGGCCCGCCGUAGCUCCUCAAAGUUAGUGGCGGAGCCGGCCCGCACCCCAGGCGUAGUAGUUCAGUCAGCUCGCCCGCGGUCGGACCAGUCCCCUGCCGUAAAACACCCC